rnacentral:misc_RNA from 1 species
UGGUUCUGGCAUCGAUGUCGAACGCAGCGAAAUGCGAUAAGUAAUGUGAAUUGCAGAAUUCAGUGAAUCAUCGAAUCUUUGAACGCACAUUGCGCCCGCCAGUAUUCUGGCGGGCAUGCCUGUUCGAGCGUCAUUUCAACCCUCAAACCCCCGGGUUUGGUGUUGGAGAUCGGCAUGAAGCCCCUCGGGGCGAAAGCCGUCUCCCAAAUAUAGUGGCGGUCUCGCUGUAGCUUCCUAUGCGUAGUAGCACACCUCGCACUGGAAAACAGAGUGACCACGCCGUUAAACCCCCAACUUUCUGAGUUUGACCUCGAAUCAGGUGGGAUUACCCGCUGA